CUAAUAAAUAAUGACUAACAAUGACAAUAAAAAUUGAGGGCCAUCAUAAAGAUAAUAAUAAUACCACCACUAUUAAUGAGAAUCAAAAUAAACCUUAAGGUAAUGGGAGAUUAGAGUACAGACUCUCCUGUAUGACUGACCAGGUACUAAUUUCUGGCCUCAUGGGAUAUUUUGGCUUAAGAGUCCAAGGUCUGCACAAAGAGAAAAGAAAGUAAGGCAGAAUGUAGCAAGAAAAGAGAAUACAAAAACAAGGACGAGGAGGACACAGGUGACCUUGGGAACUCUGGCACAAACCCCAGAGGACAAAUCUCACAGGGAUGUCCUAAGGGACAGAGAUAGAGGGACUUCGGUCCUGAGCCUGCCCACCCCUCCACACCCACUGAUUUCAGAAGUUCUACCCCGGCAACUGCAGGCGAGGAACGCAGGACCACAGACCCACAGUCGGAGCGCAAGCCCCAGCUACACCCACCGGAAGCCCCAGCCUCGCCUCAGCCCUCACACCUGCAUGCCCUCUGCCAGCUCUUCCUCCAGAACCCUGGGGUCCAGACAGCUGGCUGCCGUGUAUCUCAGAGGCGGGGUACAGGACGGUGUCAGUGACAGCUGUUUCUGGACCAGCAGGGGGCGGCAUAGGCCAACGAGUGGUUCUAGAACUCCCGGAGCAGCUGGCUUGCUCAGGCUGAGGGUCACCACCCGCCGCGCCUCUCACUCCAGCACCAUUUCCAGAUCUAGGUCUGAACGGGCGCUACUGAGAUUCAAGGGGAACGGCCCUCCUGCCGAUGUCUGGACCUCCGGGGAGAAGCAGGCCUAGAGACCCCCUGCCUUCAUGUUCAGAGGCAUCUGACUGCCCUGCCAGUGUUGUAUGCACUUGAUGCGCUAUUGAGAGUAAAUGACCACCGGAUUCAACUUCCUCCUCAGCCCUGAGGGGCGAUGUCUGGUCUUAACAACAGGGAGCUCACGCCUUAUUGGGAGGGUCUUCUGGUCAAAAGUGUGCGCCCACAUCUCCCUAAUGAACUGAGCGUCCAACAAAACAAGGAUUCUCAGCCUUCUUGCAAAGGCCAUUCUGUGCGCAUAGAACGCUCCUGUCCACAAGUACCCUAAUGAGGUACAGGAGGGCACUUGAUAUCCGGCCAAAGACAUUCUGCUGGUGCCAGGGAGCCGCAGACGGAAGUUUUCUCUGCCUCUUGGAAAUGAAGCCAAGCUUUCUCCUCUCUGCAGCCACGAGGACUGCGGUUCCCCGGCUUACCAUUCUCUUCUUUAUGGGCCAAGUCCCACCAGGUAACAAAACAAACUCUACUGAAGCUCUGGUAAGGGUAGGGUGCCUGAGGCCUUACAGGGGUCCAGUGUUCACAGCAACAUCUGCAUCACCUCUGCCCUGAGCAGGGGUCUCGUGGGAAACCUGAGAAGUCCUGCAGCCACUGACUCAGUAGUUCUCCACAGCAGCUCUCAGCUAGAUGACAUGAAGCCAAGGGCGUUUCAAGCGCUUGCAACCCUCUUUGUUCCAGCACUGAAGAUGAAUUAUUUAGGCAAAUUUACUAGCAGUUUCUAGAUCUAGGUAACAAAAAAAUGAGGCAUUUUUCUACUAAAACUUGCUCUCCAAAACUCCUCUACUUUCAGCAAAAAUUAGCAUCCUAAGAUACUGAUGUAAGAGCUAUGCCAAAGUUAUAGGGGCAGAGGGAUUGGUCGGGGUGGGGGGGUCUCCUUGAAAGGCUUGCUCUGAGUCCGAGAGACCUCCAACCCGCUGCCCCACCCAGCCUUGAUGAUGCCCCUGAAGGCUCCAUGCCAACCUCGGGCUAUCCUCUUCCUUUUCAACAUCUGUUCUCCUAAAGUAGAACUUUAAACACAGGGGUCAAGGUGGCACUGCAGUGAGUGCACCCCCUGCAUUCUGCAUGCGAACGUGGGUCACAGGUACAGGCACAGACGUCUAUCUCCGGGACAUGCAGAUCUAAGGAGGGAUGAGCAACUUACUGCUCUACAUCAAGAGGACUGUCUUACCUUUUCCUGAGAAUUCAGGGUCUCAAGGGUUGGAAAGGAGUAGGAAGGUAGACAGAUGCUUGAUUGGGGACAGUCCUCAUAUAAGGAGCGGUAGUCUACUUCAUCCCAGCCCUGUUAUUCCUCUAAAAAUCCUUGCGGAGUGUGGGGUAGUGGAUAUAUUUCACUAUAUUCUGCAUUCACACACGCAGAGUAUUACUAUUCUGGCUACAGGUAAAAACGCAGAUGAAAACCUUGACUAGACAGCCUCAAACACUUAGGACUAACGUGAUCCCAUGAUUUUCCUUCCAAAGCCUGCUCUGACCAUCAGAUCCUUCAAGGCUUAGUGCCUUAAGCUUUCAAGCCCUGCGAUACUUCUUUCUUUCUUUCAGUCGUGCUUUCUCUCUGGCUCUCACUUACGAAACCUCUCCCUCAUCCUUGUGCCAGUACUCUAUUUUGAGGGCUAGCUGACUCUUCCCCGGACUAUCUACCAGCCAAGGUUACUGGCCUAUGAUGUCUCGGAAGUCGAAGGCUAUCGUAUCUUUUUUUCUUUGUAUGCCUGCUUCCCAGUAAGGGCCUCACAUUCAGUGGAUGCUUAACAAAUAUCCAUUAAUGAUUGCCUUGUGAACAGUAAAGAGUUAAAUUCAAGUUAAUGCAUUUGAUUUUCAGCUGAAUUCAAUGGACUUUUGUUGAAUGUCCAUGAAUGCCCUAUACUGAUUUGAAGCUAUUCAAGAAUUGGCUUUUAUGUUCCAGAAUAGGAAAAUCUAGAAGUGUUGGUUUGGAGACCUCUCUUAAUGUCAGCAAAGAGCUUAAGAAGCUGUCAGGGGAAAGGUGCACUUUGCGACAUACAGGGACGGCUCAGAAUCAAGCCACUUUCGAAACUGAGCCCCUCAUUGUGUAUGACCCCACCCCCGAACACUAAUACAUUAGGACAGAAGUCAAAUACUAGUCAAUGCUUUUAACAAGGAUGCUUGUUUAGCCUUUAAGAAUCUUAAUGUAUGCAGUGAUUCCUGCAGCAGAUUGCAACCUCAAAGACCAGAGCCAGGAAGAGAGGCAGUGAGCGCAGCUCCAGGAUGCAAGAGAUACUGACAUGGGCACUGUUUGCAUGUUACAUAUGUAGGAAUAUUGUUCCCUUCCCCCGGAAACAUAUUCUCUCUAAUAAUUUCCUUGAUGUAUAUUAUCCUUUGGAUCUGUAUUUCAGUUUCGCUUUUGAAAGACACACACAUACACACACACAUAUAGAAAGAGAGAUAUCUCUAAAAAGUUUCUUCUACUCUAGGAAAAGCAGCAGUAGAAGACUAAUAUUAAAUAAAAACUGACCUCUGUCAUCGGUGUUAGCAGAUAAUAAGGAUCGAGACAGACCCAGAAGAGCUGGGGCGUGUGUGCCCUGGUGUGGGGGCAGGGCUGCCCACGGCUAGCCUUUCGUUACUCAGAUGCACUCAAUAUUGUCCGAUUUUACAGCAAUGCCCCAAAUCCAAAUUUUUGUGUGAAAGCAGAUUUUUAAGAAAUCAAGUAACAAUGAAAAAUCCACACAAGACUGUUUCCAGAUACUCCCUCCUCCCAUGUAAUUCAAUAAAAAUUCAGGGACACCAGGAAAUAGCUACCACAACUCUCUUCUCUGUGCAGGCAGGGCCGGUUUCAAGGAAGUCUGUGAGCGUUCCAAACGGCUCCUGCCAGGAAUUCUGCAUCAACUCAGAAAUCCAGGCUGGGAGACGUGUGGACGGCCGACCAUGCCGUCUGCCCACGGUGCACGUGCCUGAAGUCGACCCUGCUAUACCCAGGGAGCACUGACGCCCUUCUUAAGCUGUUUGUUUGUUUGGAUGUUUUAUUCUCACUCCCUCGCUCGCUUUUGCUCUCGCCUCUCUUUCUGUCUUUGUUCUCACAGGGAUUCUUAGUGAGUUCUCAAUAAAUAAAAAAAACAAAACUUGCAAACACAAAACCUAUUUUAGGAAUUCGUACGAUGUAUUUUCACUUGGUCGUGGUUUGGUCUCCAUCUUUCUAUACGGCCUGGAUGAGCUCCAGGUUGGGUGGGGGGCCUUUUUUCUUACCUACGGUUUUUGCCUGGCCCUGGGCAGCCCUCCACCCUUCAUCUGGGGACACUACUCUCCUUCCCCACUUGGAAAAUGCACGACUUCAUUCCAUGCAGCCUUGUGGGGUCUCCCUCCCUCUCAAAAGGGCCGAUCACAGGAAACCUGCAUAAUCGGAUUUCCCAGACUUCGCCAGCAAGCUGACUGUGGACAGAGCAACACCCCGAUAAAAGACAAUUCUCACACCCUUUUCAAAGCCAGUCCUCCAGGUUCCCUUUUUUCCACAUUCUCACCAACACUUCUUCUCUUUUAUCUUUUGACAACAGCCAUCCUAACAGGUGUGGGAUGGUAUCUCACUGUGAUUUUGACUUGCAUUUCCCUGAUGAAUAGUAAUGUUGAGCAAUUUUUCACAUACGGAUUAGCCUUUUGUAUGACUUCUUUGGAAAAACGUCUAUUCUGGUCCUUUGCCCGAUUUUUUAAUAUACAUAGUUAUCACAAAAUGGUUACCACAAUAAGGUUAUCUAACACUUCCAUCACCUCAGAUAGUUAGAAUUUUUUUGUGUGUGGUGCAAACUUUUUUUUUUUUUUGCGGUACGUGGGCCUCUCACUGUUGUGGCCUCUCCCGUUGCGGAGCACAGGCUCCGGACGCACAGGCUCAGUGGCCAUGGCUCACAGGCCCAGCCACUCUGCGGCAUGUGGGAUCUUCCCGGACUGGGGCACGAACCCAUGUCCCCUGCAUCGGCAGGCGGACUCUCAACCACUGAGCCACCAGGGAAGCCUGGUGCAAACUUUUAAAAUCUACUCUCUUAUCAACUUUCAGUUACACAAUAAAUUACUUACUGUUAACUACAUAUACCAGGCUGUAUAUUAGAUCUCCAGAACUUAUUCAUCUUACAGCUGGAAGCUUGUACCUUUUGACCACCUUCACCCAUUCACCCCAACCUCACUCCCUGCAACCACCAAUCUACCUGAGGUUUCUAUGAGUUUGGAUUUUUUUUAGAUUCCACAUAUAAAUGAGAUCAUAUGGUAUUUGUCUUUCUCUGUCUGACUUACUUCAGUUAGCAUAUGUUCUCCAAGUUCGUCUACGUUGCUGCAAAUGAUAGGAUUUCCUUCUUUUUUCAUAACUGAACAAUAUUCCAUUCUGUGUGUAUGUAUAUGCCCAAUGCAUGUUUCCCAACACCAUUUAUUAAAGAGACUAUCAUGUCCCCAUUGAGGAGUCUUGACUCCCUUGUCAAAUAUUAGUUGACCAUAUAUAUGCGGGUUCAUUUCUAGGCUCUUGAUUCUAUUCUAUCGGUCUACGUGUUUGUUUUAUGCCAAUAACAUGCUGUUUUGAUUAAUAUAGUUUUGUAAUACAGUUUAAAAUUAGGAAGUUGUGAUGCUCCAGCUUUGUUCUUCUAGCUGAUGGCUUUGGCUAUUCAGGUUCUGCUGUGGUUCUAUAUGAACUUUAGAAUUUGUUUUUUCUUUUUCUGUGAAAAAUGCCAUUGGAAUUUUGAUGGGAAUUGCACAAAAUUUGUAGAUUGCUUUCAGUAGCAUGGAUAUUUUAAGAAUAUUAAUUAUUCUGGGACAUCUUUUCAUUUAUUUGUAUCUUCUUCAAUUUCUUUCAUUGUUGUCUUAUAUUUUCAGUGUAUAGGUGUUUCAAUUCUUUGGUUAAAUUUACUCAUAAGUCUUUUAUUGUUUUUGAUGUUAUCACAAAUAAAAUUGUUUUCUUAAUUUUCCAGAUAGUUCAUUUUUAACAUAUAGAAAUGCAACUAAGUUUUGUAUGUUGAUUUUGUAUCCUGAAACUUUACUUAAUUCAUUUAUUAGUUCUAACAGUUAUUCAUGGAGUUUUUUAGGGUUUUCUAUAUAUAAGGUUAUUUCAUGUGCAAAGACUAUUUUAAAAAUAAAACUACCAUAUGAUACAAUAA